AUAAUACAGAUCAUGAUAUAGAAAUAGAAAAUGAGUACAGUUAUUGUGAUUUGUCGUUGAUUUUUAAUACAAUCUGUCAAAGAAAGUGUAUACUAGUAUUUGUCCUGUGUAUAAAAAACAAAACUGCAACAUUACAUUAAACGUUCAAAUAUACCUUACAGUUAAUAGUGAAUCAAUGAUGUUUGAUCUACCAUCAGAAUUAACUGCUAAACCAUUAGCUUUGAUCGGACUAUCUGGUUUAGAUAUAACAAAUGUUAUCCAUCGAUCCAUUUGGGAUGCAUUUAAUAAUAAUCGUAGACCAGAUGGUACUACUGUUCAAUUUAUGUUAUUAGGACCUAAACAUGAAUUUCCUACUGUUAAACCAAAGAGAAAUUCAUACGAAUGGUAUAUUCCUAAAGGAAUCUUAAAACGUAAUUGGAUGAAUAAAUAUCUUAAUGAGAUUCCAGCAGUAGUUGUAGUUUUUUAUGAUUUGGAUUGGAAUGAUCCAUUGUGGAAUGAAAAAAAGAUAGAAUGUGCCUCAAGAAUACAAUCACUCAGAGCUGCCUUAGAAGGAAGAAGUACAAAAGUAGCACUAGUAUUGAUACAAUGUAGUGUACCACCUCCUCCAGAUUCUGAAGAUAUAGUUGCAACGGAACGAGCAACUGCCUUGUGUGGUGCUUGUGAAUUACCACCUAAUUUACUUUAUGUAUUACCUCAUGGAGAUCAUUUAUCAGGAUAUAUAUCCAGAUUGGAGACUGCAUUUUAUCAAUUGGCACAAAAUUUCUAUCAUCAUGAAUAUCGUAUUAUUAGAAGUCAUCGCGAUCAAUUAAAUAAAACCGUUCAUCAAUAUUUAUUUGUACGUCAUCAAUUUAAAAUGGGAUUCUUAAAUGAACUAAAGCAAGAUCAACCUCAAAAACAUUAUGUCCAAGCAUAUCAUAAUCUCUUUGAAAUAAGAAUGGUAGACACUAAUGCAUUGGAAAUAAAAACUAUUGCUGGUUUUAUAAAUUAUAAAAUAUGCAAGAUAAUGUUUAGUUUAAAUCUUCCAAAAGAUGCUAUAGCACAAUUUAGACUUCACACAGAAAGGUUUAAACUAAAAACUGGUCCAAAAGAAUUGAUAUUUGAGCAUCAUGCUUGGAUGAGUAACCAGUUUUCAACAUUUGCAGAAUUAUUUGAUGAUGCAAUUCGACAAGGUCUUCCUGCAGUCCAAACUCAACAUCCUGGAUAUUAUUAUCAAUUAGCUGCACAACAUGCAAGCUUGAGACAAUCGGCAUGUAAAGAGUUAUGUAAAAAUGUAAAUAGUUAUCCAGAUCUAGAUCCAUUAGCUGGGGAAGAGAAACUUGAAUUUUAUGGGCAACGACCAUGGCGUUCUGGAAAACUAAAUGUAGAACCACUAGAUACUGUUAAAGAAACAGCUGCUAUACAAGCAUUGCAAUAUAAAGAGAAAACAACUGUAAAUCAUUCUAUGAUAAUCAUUGGCUUGUUGGGAAAUGCAAUUUCUCAAUUUAAAAUAUAUCGAUGUCCUAGAAUGCGCAGAUCAUUAGUUGUACAGAUGGCUGAAGAAUAUUAUAAUUCACGAGACUAUGGAAAAGUUCUUACAUUAUUGAUGCACAUGUUAUGGGAGUAUCAUGGGGAGAGAUGGCCCGUCUUGCUCACAGAUAUCAUAAAAAAUGCUUUACGAGCUGCAUAUUUAUCCACAAGUAUUCAAGACUACCUCACUUUAUCUUUUGAAGCUUUAGGACCUUCUACGACAUUCACUAAAGAUCAACAAACUGUUGUUUAUGCAAAUAUUAUUAAUAUUCUUCAGAAACGCCCACCGCAUCCGGAAUCAGAUUUACCAGAUGAUCUAAAACGUGUUGCAUUAGAAAAAUGGAAAUUAGAGUUAAAUCGACAAGAACCAAUUAUGUUUACAAUUGAUGAUAAUAAUAUGACUUCAUUUAUAGAUGUUAAAGCACAAUUUUUGAAAUCAAAAUAUAUAGUUGAUGAGGAUGUUAUUAUUGAAGUAAUUAUAAGAAAUUCAUUUUCUGGGAGUAUAGAGUUUUCUAAAGUGUCCGUAACAAUCAACAGCCCUGGUUUUAAUACAGAAAUUGUAGUUGCUAUUCCUCAGCACAAUAAUGUUGAUCUUGUAUUCUCUAGUAAUCAAAUUAAAAAAUUUUAUGGUCAAUUUGGAGCACCUCCUUUAAGUGAUAGUAGUGAAAUUCGUAUUGGUACAGUCACAUUGUUUAUGGGAAAUGAAACUCAAUGUUGUAUUGUAUUGAGAUUUCCAGCUGCAGGGAAAGAAACAAAUCUUUUACAUCGUUUGUAUCCUGAAAUACAAUUGUUACAUAGUGGCAAAUUCGAAACGAUAAAACCAUUAGUAACAACAGAAAUAAAAAGGAAAGAAAAUGAUGUUAAUAUAAGUGCAAAAUCUAAUAAUCCUGCAUUAAUAGGAGAAUGGAUACCUAUUAUAAUACAUGUAACUGCUGAAAACUAUAUUACUAUAGCAUCCUUGCAUGUUGGUUUUCAAAUAAAUGGAAACAAUGAACAGUCAACUGAUUUAAGUUUGACAAUGUUAACUAAACAAUCACAGGUAUUAAUUGAAAUAGAGAAAACAGAUACAAAUUGUAUAAUUGAAAGAACUGUAUAUAUGCGAGCACAUAAAGUGGGUAACAGAAAUAUUACCAUAAAAGUGGAAUAUUUUUACCCAAAUGAAAUAAAAGGAAGUAAAGAAAUUGUACAUUCUAUACCAGUUAGUAAACCAUUUGAAGUAACAACACGAUUUUGUACUAGUCUUUUAGAACCAUUGACAAAAGGUUUUAUUCACGAGCCUUUUAUUGUCAUGCCACAUAUUUCAUGUACAUCACCUUGUCCAAUAAAAAUUCUUAAUACUUCAAUUGAGUUGGGAGAACUGAUACAAAAGGAAAAUAAUCAAAAAGAAGAUAGUAUUUUGGCAGGAACUGUACUUUCUGAUGGUGAAGCAGGUACAGAUGCAUAUUGCUUAAUAGCUAAAGCUGGUAGUGAGCAACCUGUCAGUAUAGGAGUGUUUACUAUUAGAUGGAUACGUGCAAAUGAUGAGACUGCAUCAGAAACUAGUAGUAGUGUAACAUUAGCUCCAUUGUGGAUAGAAGAUGCAGUAAUUAGUUUAGAAACUAAAUUACCAGCUCAUGGUUGGGUAUGCACACCACUUUACAUAUCAUAUAUUAUACAAAAUCAUUCUGAUUACUUGAUCACGUUACGCUUAACAAUGGAAGCUAGUGACGCAUUUAUGUUUGCUGGACAAAAACAGGUUGAUAUUUAUAUUCUCCCAAAAAAUGAACGAAGAGUAGAAUGGAUUUUACGUCCACUCGUUGCUGGACUUGUAGCAUUACCUAUAUUAUCUCUAACUGUACCUACAGAUGAAGAACAUAAAUUAAGUAAAGGACGCCUUUCGGAAAUGCUAGAACGUUCAUUGCCAAGUCAUAUUUAUAUAUUGAAAUAUAAUAGACAUAGUAACAACGAAGAUUGUGAUGGACGUUCCUGAGAAAGUUCAAGCUUCUUUAGAUUCGCAGCUAAAUUUUGAAGAAUCGCAACUAAGAAAUCAAAAAUUUUUAAAGGAGUUGGAGCUUUCUAAAGCACGUUUGAGAACUCUCGCAGCUUAUACACCUACCGAAGAGGAAUUACAACAAGUUGCUUCAACAUAUCGAAAAUAUCUUCAAAAGAGAUCAAGUUCUUAAUCACAUUAUU